rnacentral:rRNA from 1 species
UACGAAGGGUGCAAACGUUGCUCGGAAUCAUUGGGCGUAAAGCGCGCGUAGGCGGUUGCUUAAGUCGGAUGUGAAAGCCCUCGGCUUAACUGAGGAAGUGCAUCCGAAACUGAGCAGCUAGAGUACGAAAGAGGGUCGCGGAAUUCCCGGUGUAGAGGUGAAAUUCGUAGAUAUCGGGAGGAACACCGGUGGCGAAGGCGGCGACCUGGGUCGAGACUGACGCUGAGGCGCGAAAGCGUGGGGAGCAAACAGG